rnacentral:rRNA from 1 species
CGUAGGUGAACCUGCGGAAGGAUCAUUACUGAAAUGUAAUAACUUCUAUUGAAAGGUUCCAGAGUAGGCGCUACAACGCCGAAAUGACCUUCUCACCCUUGUGUACUCACUAUGUUGCUUUGGCGGGUCGACCUGGUUCCGACCCAGGCGGCCGGCGCCCCCAGCCUUAACUGGCCAGGACGCCCGGCUAAGUGCCCGCCAGUAUACAAAACUCAAGAAUUCAUUUUGUGAAGUCCUGAUAUAUCAUUUAAUUGAUUAAAACUUUCAACAACGGAUCUCUUGGUUCUGGCAUCGAUGAAGAACGCAGCGAAAUGCGAUAAGUAAUGUGAAUUGCAGAAUUCAGUGAAUCAUCGAAUCUUUGAACGCACAUUGCGCCCUCUGGUAUUCCGGAGGGCAUGCCUGUUCGAGCGUCAUUUCAACCCUCAAGCUCUGCUUGGUAUUGGGCAACGUCCGCUGCCGGACGUGCCUUGAAGACCUCGGCGACGGCGUCCUAGCCUCGAGCGUAGUAGUAAAAUAUCUCGCUUUGGAGUGCUGGGCGACGGCCGCCGGACAAUCGACCUUCGGUCUAUUUUUCCAAGGUUGACCUCGGAUCAGGUAGGGAUACCCGCUGAACUUAAGCAUAUCAAUAAGCGGAGGAA